AUGGAUCGAUCCGUUGACAUUUUAUUACCACAUCACAGCACAGACACACACAAUACAUCCAGACAUACAGGGCUUACAAUACAGUGUUGGCUUCAGCAUCAUGCGCUCGCAGGCUUGCUCACGGUCGCAGCAGCGGCGGGCGCAGGGGGCGUCGCCAGGUCGCAGCCGGCCUACCAGCCCGCGCCGGACUACUGGGACUCGCAUUUGGCCUUGCAGGCAGGCGGGGUCGUGCACACAGUGGGGCAGAACUUCCCUUUCGGGCAGGGCACACACCCACAGCGUGCGAUGCACGUCGCUAGCCCGUCAUCCGUCGGCUGCCCCGAUAUGGCCGGGGCUAGCGCGGUGGCGCAGAGGGCGGCCAGGAGCAUGACGGCGGCGAAUUUGAGAGCGGGAGAAGCCAUGAGAUGA
rnacentral:rRNA from 1 species